CAGCAGCACAGCCCUAAUAGCAAAAUUGCUCUCUCUGUGUGUCUUAGUUUGAAGCUUCAAGUGCAAAGUCAAGGGAUUUGCUGGUGGAGAAGAGGAUAGAGAUCUCUCUGCCUUCAAAGUUUGAUCCUUGAAUUCAAAGCUUUAUACUUAUCUAACUUGUUCUUCCCUUCUAUCUUUUUAGCUUUCUUUUCGUUUCUUUUUUUUUCUCUCCUGGCUCAUGUCCAUCUAGAAAGAAUUUUUGUAUCUAUGUUGAUGAUCUAAUGCUUCAUUUCCCUCCUAAAGUACUCUGUCCAACACAUAUUUGAACAUAGGUCACAGGGAGUCAUGCUGGGGCUUCCCCUCAUCAGCCAUCUUCCUUUAUUAUUCUAGCUAGACAGUUUGUUACAGCAAUGCUGGUUAUGGAUACUUGGCAAUAUCUGAUUCAGAGUGUUUAUUAUUAUUAUCUGAACUUUGACUUGUGCAUCAAUGGAUGGCAUUUAGGUAACCUUUGGAUGCUUUUUUUUGGUAAUAGGUCCUGUAGCUGAAGACAUGUUUCAUUGGCAAGCAACAAUCGUGGGCCCUUCCGAUAGCCCUUAUGUUGGAGGUGUAUUUUUAGUUACGAUUCAUUUUCCUCCGGACUACCUUUCAAGCCUCCUAAGGUUGCAUUUAGGACCAAGGUCUUCCAUCCAAACAUCAACAGCAACGGGAGCAUUUGUCUUGAUAUCCUAAAAGAACAAUGGAGCCCUGCACUAACCAUUUCCAAGGUCUGUCCUUACUUCUGCUCUUUUUUUAAGAGGUUGUUUCUAAAUGACGUGUAACUAAGAACCAAUCAGCCGAAUGUUCCUAAGGCAUGGAUUCGAGCAUGGCCAGCAUUUGCAGGCUCUGUCCCUUGUUGUGCUUGGUGCUGUGUCCCUUGUUUUGUGUGUCUGCAAGGCAUGGAUUCGAGCAUGGCCAGCAUGGGCGACAACAACAUUGGUUUCGGUGGAUGGCUGACCAGCAUGGGUCAUCCUCGGUGGGAACACGUGGGUGGCACACUGUCUCGGGCUUCCUCCUGGUGGAUUUGCACCAUAUGUUAAUAU